CACUGAUUCACUGUUUUCCUAAGAACUCUGGGCUCCAGCUUCGUCUCCACCUUUCUGCUCUGGGGGAACCAAGUGCUCCAGCGUUCCCAGCGCCAUUGCAGGCCUAGGUCUGACUUGUAGCUCACUGCUUUCGCAACUGGCCGUUUGCAGUUAACAGUAUAUCUUGGAAAUCAUUCCAUAUCCGUUCUUAAGGUGCAAAUGUAUUUGGGGAGCUGAUUUUAGGGAUCUCUCUUUAACACCAAAAGUUUUCACAGAUCCCCAUGAAGAAGACUUGAUAUUACCAAAGACGUCCUGAAUUCAGGAAUAGUUUAAGGCCGCCAGGCUUCUCUGUCCAUGGAAUUCUCCAGGCAGGAAUACUGGAGUGGAUAGCUAUUCCCUUCUCCAGAGGAUCUUCCAGACCAAGGGAUUGGACCUGCGUCUCCUGUGUCUCCUGCAUUGUACCUAAAACUGAACAAAAUCAAGAAAAAGAGGCACAAGCAUGCUGUUUAGGAACAGGAGGUCUGUACCAGAAGGAUAGACCGAAAGACUUGAAAAUGACUGAAUCUGAGAUGCGGAUUGAGAGUAUAAUGAGCUGGAAUAGUCCCCAAAAGAAAAACUCCUCUUCAGUGGCAUCAUGGAGGCAGACAGAUGCUUGACUUUUCCCUUUACUAACAAGUUUUCAAAAUAACCAAGUGACGCUCUGGCAUCGUCCACAGCUGCAUCUUGCCAUCUGUCCCUUGCCCUCCAUUCUCUGAGGAUCUCUUUGUGAUCAUCCUCCCUGGAUUCCUUCUUGAGGACCAGCCUCUUGGGCUUUGAGGCCCCUCUUUCUGCACCAGCUUCAUCAAGGUUGACUCACUGCCAUCUGCAUAUUUAAACAAAACUGCUGCCCCCCACCCCAGCCCCGCAGACAGUCAUGUUGUAAGCUUGGGACUUUCUCCCUGCUCAUCCAAACCUUACCUGUACUUUUAGGUGCACUGUGCAGGAAGCCUUGUUAGAAGAGUCCAGCCCUCUCCCUCUCUUAGUCCUGGAGCAUUGUCAGGAAUCUCAUACCCCUGAACAGACUACAAGCUGCUGGAGGGCAGGCUUCAGUCAGAAUGUUCCUGCUGCCUUGGCGCAGGGCCAGCACACAUCAGAUGCUCAGUUAAUGUCUGUGGAGUCAGUGCACGGUGGCAUUCCCAAAGACUUACCUCCAGCUGCACCUCUCCCGCUCACUUGCCAUAACCCUCCCUGCACAACCUCCAGCUCCCACCAACCAGGGGCAAGAGGGAAAACAAAACAGGUGUAAAAAAAAAAAAAAAAAAAGGCGGAGCGCACUGAAAUAUAAGAAGCCACUUCUAGGAUCG
ensembl:lncRNA